GAUGAGGAAGCGACACAACUCGAUCAAAUACAGAGACACCAGAUUGAUGUUUGGCGCACCGGUGCGACCAAGGAACAUUUUUAGUCGCACUUCACAGGUUUUUGGUCGCACUCGGGAGGCCUGACAGGGCUGCUGAAGGUCAAACACCAGUCUUCUGGAUGGUGGCAGAAGUUGACACACUUGAAAAACACAGUUCAAGUGACCAUUCUCGUACAAUGGACAUACUGUAUGUGUGCUGGUGUUGGAAACAGAUUGUCUAAUCUGCAGUUGAUUACUUGGUUCGAGAAAAUACUACAAAGGAGAAACUACAAUGGAAUGUAAUCACCUUCACCACUUUACUGGCCGAUCCUGAUGAAACGGACUCCACUGCAGUUUCAUAUCACUGGAUUCAGGACGUUGUGAAGUUAAAGAAAAUUAGGCCCUCCAAGGAAGGGCCAGUGCAUGUGUGCAGGUCAGGGGUCCCUUUCUCCUACAUCAGUUUCUUGAUAUUCCAAUACAAUCGAAAUGUGGAGGGACAAAGUUCAGCAGUGUGAAUUUUUUAAUGAGUAGAAUUACAAUGCUCACAUGCUUCUCAGCGCCAUCAUCAUUAUGUGGUUUUGUUUUGUCGUGUUCUCUAAUUUACUUGUGUGUGUGUGUAGUCAUACAUGUCUGCAUUCCUCUUUGGAGCAUAAUAAAUGGCAGUCUUAUUUGUAGAAGUAGUUGAGUGGUGAAAGCGUUGCCCAUUGAUAAACUUAGAUGUUAAUUCAUAAAAUAGUCAGUAGGACAGAAGUAAAUAAAGAACAGCCCCGUCAUUUUUCCCCUGUCAGCAAACUCAGCAUAGUGCUUCCAUGUACAGUUACAGUCGGUGCACUGAAAACACAUUUUCC